GACAGUGCCGUAAUCAGAUGAUUCGGCUACUGAAUUGAGAACGAUGAAAGAAUGUUAUCGAAUAUCUAUUGGAGGGCAAGUCUGGUGCCAGCAGCCGCGGUAAUUCCAGCUCGAAGAGCGUCUGUUAAUGUUGCUGCGCUUGAAACGCUCGUCGUUGAAUCUCUGGCAAUUGCCUACGGACACUUCUAUUGUGGUACCGUAGGAAAGUGCCUUUUUGUAUCUAUUCGUCGUUGAUUCACUUAAUUGUGUGUCACGUUCGAGAGCCACUUUCACUUUGGAGAAAUCAGUGUGCUCAUAACAGGCUUAUGCCUGCAUAUAACUGCAUGGGAUGAUGAAACUGGGCCUUUGACUCGUUUCGUUGGUUUACGAUUGCAAAGGCCAUGAUUAAUCGGGACAGACGGGGGCAUUCGUAUUGCGUCGAUAGAAGUGAAAUUCGGUGACCGACGUAAGACGAACAAUCGCGAAAGCAUUUGCCAAGAAUGUUUUCAUUAAUCAAGAACGAAAGUUAGAGUAUCGAAGACGAUUAGAUACCGUCCUAGUUCUAACUGUAAACGAUGCCAACCAGGGUUUCGUCAUAGCUUAUAUGCUUGACGAGCACCCUCCGGGAAACCUGAGUAAUCGGGUUCCGGGGGGAGUAUGGUUGCAGAAUCGAAACUUAAAGGAAUUGACGGAAGGGCACACCAGGAGUGGAGCCUGCGGCUUAAUUUGACUCAACGCACGAUAGCCGACUCGGUCCGAACA
rnacentral:rRNA from 1 species